CCUAAGGAAUGCACACGAUCGGAAAUGUGUGUCCAAGCAGCAAGUCUGAGAACGAGUGAAAUGCUUUUUCUCUCAAGGACAAGCUGUGAUGGGGAGCGAAAUUUAGUAGCGAAGUUCCUGAUGUCACACUGCCAAGAAAAGCUUCUAGUGAGAAAGUAACUGCCCGUACCGCAAACCGACACAGGUAGUUGAGGAGAGAAUCCUAAGGUGUGCGAGAGAACUCUCGUUAAGGAACUCGGCAAAAUGACCCCGUAACUUCGGGAGAAGGGGUGCUGACCGCAAGGUCAGCCGCAGUGAAUAGGCCCAAGCGACUGUUUAUCAAAAACACAGGUCUCUGCAAAAUCGAAAGAUGACGUAUAGGGGCUGACGCCUGCCCGGUGCUGGAAGGUUAAGAGGAGAGGUUAGCGCAAGCGAAGCUUUGAAUUGAAGCCCCAGUAAACGGCGGCCGUAACGAUAACGGUCCUAAGGUAGCGAAAUUCCUUGUCGGGUAAGUUCCGUCCCGCACGAAAGGCGUAACGAUUUGGGCACUGUCUCAACGAGAGACUCGGUGAAAUUAUAGUACCAGUGAAGAUGCUGGUUACCCGCGACAGGACGGAAAGACCCCAUGGAGCUUUACUGCAGUUUGAUAUUGCGUGUUUGUAUCACAUGUACAGGAUAGGUAGGAGCCGAAGAUACCGGGACGCCAGUCUCGGAGGAGGCAACGGUGGGAUACUACCCUUGUGAUAUGACCACUCUAACCCGCUGCUCUUAGCGAGCAGGGAGACAGUGUCAGACGGGCAGUUUGACUGGGGCGGUCGCCUCCAAAAAUGUAACGGAGGCGCCCAAAGGUUCCCUCAGAAUGGUUGGAAAUCAUUCGUAGAGUGUAAAGGCAGAAGGGAGCUUGACUGCGAGACCUACAAGUCGAGCAGGGACGAAAGUCGGGCUUAGUGAUCCGGUGGUUCCGCAUGGAAGGGCCAUCGCUCAACGGAUAAAAGCUACCCUGGGGAUAACAGGCUUAUCUCCCCCAAGAGUUCACAUCGACGGGGAGGUUUGGCACCUCGAUGUCGGCUCAUCGCAUCCUGGGGCUGUAGUCGGUCCCAAGGGUUGGGCUGUUCGCCCAUUAAAGCGGUACGCGAGCUGGGUUCAGAACGUCGUGAGACAGUUCGGUCCCUAUCCGUCGCGGGCGUUGGAAAUUUGAGAGGAGCUGUCCUUAGUACGAGAGGACCGGGAUGGACACACCGCUGGUGUACCAGUUGUUCUGCCAAGAGCAUCGCUGGGUAGCUAUGUGUGGACGGGAUAAACGCUGAAAGCAUCUAAGCGUGAAGCCCCCCUCAAGAUGAGAUUUCCCAUCACUUUAAGUGAGUAAGACCCCUGAGAGAUGAUCAGGUAGAUAGGUUGG
rnacentral:rRNA from 1 species